rnacentral:rRNA from 1 species
UAAUUGUGAAUUUACAGAAUUAUUUUGUUUAAAGAUGUUUAUUAAUAAAAUCAUUUUUUUUUAUGUAGGGUUUUUGUAUAGGUUAUAGAUAAAAUUUUUAAUGUGAUAGUUAAAUUGUAUUGUGAGAGGUUAUUGAAAUAAGUUGAAAAUGUAAUUAAGUGAAAGUAGAUUUAAUUUAUUGUACCUUGUGUAUCAGGGUUUAUCAAAAAGUUUAUAAAUAUUUAUAGAUCCCGAUUUAAAGAGAGCUAAUUAUUUUUGUUAGUUGAUGUGGAAUAAUCAUUAAUAAAAGAUGAUUAGUCAUGAAAUGUUAUUCGUUCUUUAAGAUAUCUGGUUUUUCAAGAAAUGAAUUUAAUUCAGUUAUUAAAUAUUAUUUAUCUAAUUUUUUAGGUGAAUAUAAUUUGAUAAAAAUGUAUUGGGGGAUAAGCUUCAAUACAUAAUUUAUAAAAUGGAAUUUUAUGUAAAAAUUUAGUAGGCUUAGAAUUAGCCAUCAAUUUAAGGAUGUUAUAAUUUAUUUUUUAUUAAAUAUAAUUUUAUGAUGUAAUUUAAAUAGUAUAUUGAAAUGUAACUUUUAAUUUUUUAAGGUUGGUAAUAAUGAUAAAAUUAGUAUAAAUAAUUGUUUUUUAUUAUGUAAUUGAAAGGUUAUAUUAAGGAAUUAGGCAAAUUAAUGCUCGCCUGUUUAACAAAAACAUGUCCUCUAGAUGAUAAUUUGAGGUCUGACCUGCCCACUGAAUAUAAGAUUUGAAGGGCCGCGGUAUUUUGACCGUGCAAAGGUAGCAUAAUCAUUAGUCUUUUAAUUGAAGGCUAGAAUGAAUGGUUGGACGAGGUAUUGACUGUCUCAGUAUAAUUGAAAUUAGAAUUUAACAUUUAAGUCAAAAGGCUUAAAUAUAUUUAAAGGACGAGAAGACCCUAUAGAGCUUGAUAUUUAAAAGUUAUUAUUUAUUUGGUUGUAUUUUUAUAAUAGUUUAAUAAGUAUUUUGUUGGGGUGACAGGAAGAUAUAAUAAACUCUUUUUAUUUUAUUACAUUGAUAUAUGAAUUGUUGAUCCAUUAUUAGUGAUUAUAAGACUAAGUUACCUUAGGGAUAACAGCGUAAUCUUUUUCGAGAGUUCUUAUCGACAAAAAGGGUUGCGACCUCGAUGUUGGAUUAAGGGUAAUUUUGGGUGUAGAUGUUCAAAGUUUAGGUCUGUUCGACCUUUAAAUCCUUACAUGAUCUGAGUUCAGACCGGUGUAAGCCAGGUCGGUUUCUAUCCUUAAUAAAAAUUGAUGUUUUAGUACGAAAGGACCAAUCAUUGGGAAUAAAUUUUCUUAUUAGUUGAUUAAUAUUAAGUGA